GACGAACCGUCCUAACGUUGUUCGGAAUCACUGGGCUUAAAGGGCGCGUAGGCGGCUUGCCAAGUCAGGGGUGAAAUCCUGCAGCUUAACUGUAGAAGGGCCUUUGAUACUGGCGAGCUCGAGGGAGGUAGGGGUAUGUGGAACUUCCGGUGGAGCGGUGAAAUGCGUAGAUAUCGGGAGGAACACCUGUGGCGAAAGCGGCGCACUGGACCACAACUGACGCUGAGGCGCGAAAGCUAGGGGAGCAAACAGG
rnacentral:rRNA from 1 species